UACGAAGGGGGCUAGCGUUGCUCGGAAUUACUGGGCGUAAAGCGCACGUAGGCGGCUUUCUAAGUCGGAGGUGAAAUCCUGGAGCUCAACUCCAGAACUGCCUUCGAUACUGGAGAGCUCGAGUCCGGGAGAGGUGAGUGGAACUGCGAGUGUAGAGGUGAAAUUCGUAGAUAUUCGCAAGAACACCAGUGGCGAAGGCGGCUCACUGGACCGGCAUUGACGCUGAGGUGCGAAAGCGUGGGGAGCAAACAGG
rnacentral:rRNA from 1 species